rnacentral:rRNA from 1 species
UGAGGAAUAUUGGUCAAUGGGCGCAAGCCUGAACCAGCCAUGCCGCGUGAAGGAUGAAGGCCCUAUGGGUCGUAAACUUCUUUUGUACGGGACGAAACCCCAGAACGUGUUCUGGGCUGACGGUACUGUACGAAUAAGCAUCGGCUAACUCCGUGCCAGCAGCCGCGGUAAUACGGAGGAUGCAAGCGUUAUCCGGAUUCAUUGGGUUUAAAGGGUGCGCAGGCGGGAUAUUAAGUUAGUGGUGAAAGCCUACAGCUUAACUGUAGAAUUGCCAUUGAUACUGAUAUUCUUGAGUACAGAUGAGGUAGCUGGAAUGUGUGGUGUAGCGGUGAAAUGCUUAGAUAUCACACAGAACACCGAUUGCGAAGGCAGGUUACUAAGCUGUAACUGACGCUGAGGCACGAAAGCGUGGGGAGCAAACAG